GCAGGCUGAAACUCGCCUGCAUGAAGUCGGAAUUGCUAGUAAUCGCAGAUCAGCAUGCUGCGGUGAAUACGUUCCCGGGCCUUGUACACACCGCCCGUCACACCAUGGGAGUCGGUAACACCCGAAGCCUGUAGUCUAACCGCAAGGAGGACGCAGUCGAAGGUGGGAUUGAUGACUGGGGUGAAGUCGUAACAAGGUACC
rnacentral:rRNA from 1 species